GGAGAAUGUUUAACGUAAUUGGUCUUACUGGUUGACCUUUGAUGCUUUCAGGAACAAGGUUGGAAAUGAAUAUAUGCAAGGGGUUUUCCCACUCCUUCCCCCAAAGUUAAACACUAGCCCAUGGAAGAUACUAACAUUUGGUGCUCUAAACUAAAAGUAGAUAUUGCCCAGAGAUGCUUUCCUGCAUCCAGUGUUUUUCUUCCAGAACUAGAGUGAGCAACUGUACCUCUCUAGGUGUUUUUUAAAGUGCUAGCUUGUGCACCUAAUACCAAGAGGUGGAAAGAGCCAAAGAUUAGGAAGAUCUUCCUAAUGGCAGCCAUCCCACCCCAUCACAUAUGAGGACCGGCUGGCCAGCCUCACCAAGGAAGAAGUGUGGUUUGUUAGCAUCCCCAGGGAUUCUGAAGAUGUCUUCAGCUCCUGCAAGAUGUUCUCUGAACCUCAGUUUCAUUUACUGGUUAACUCUACCCAGGAAGCAGCUAACACCACAACAAACAUCACUGCUGUCCAGAACUGCCAACAUGGAUGGAUCUAUGAUCAAUCCCAGUUCACUUCUACUAUAGCCACCUAGGUAACGUUCCAUGUUCCUCUUAUUUGUGAUGCUUGUACCUCUCCAUUGGUUCUUCCCAAUGGGACAAAUGUUCUAAGAGGGCAUGGUAUUUAUUUCUAUGGUUCUCAUUUUAAAAACAAACAAACAAAAUAACCAGUUAUCCAAUUAGUCAGUCACAAUGUAAUCAUACCUAUAACCAUGUAACUUACAAUUAUGAUAAAACCAUGACAAUUGUAAAUGUCUCCCAAACCCACCUCAAGAGCCAGCCACUUACACUGAGCGACAGAGCUCUGAGGUGAUGGUGAGGAGGAAACUGCAGGGUGAAGUGACCAAUUCCCUCCUGCUAGAAAGGAAUGGUACAAAGAGCAUAAGCAGAGAGCCCUGUGGAGCUCUGCCUCAACUUUUCACUGAAAUGUCAGGAAACUGCAGGGUGAAGUGAACAGUCCCCUCCUGCUAGCAAGUAAGAGCUGAUAUUACUAUAAAUCUUCAUCUUUCUUUUAUAUUCUUCCCCAAGUGUGUUGUGUAAAGAUUGCUGUGGAAAGCCAGUACAGCAAUCAGCAAUGCCCAGUAAUAUCCUUGGUUUUAUUUCCCUGUAGUCAGAGAAGGUAAAACAAGACUCAAGAAGUAUUAUGUAUAUCAGGCAUGGGCAAACAUCGGCCCUCCAUGUGUUUUGGACUUCAGCUCCCACAAUUCCUGGUCUCAGGCCCUGUCCUUUCCCCCCUCAUCUGCUUAAUUUGUAGCUGGUGAGACACAAGAGCUCUGGUCGAGAAGGCUACAGACUUUGUAAAACUACAACUCCCAUGAUUCCAUAGCAUUAAGCCAUGUUAGUUCAGGUGGUGUCAAACUGCACUCAUUCUACAGCAGGCAUGGGCAAACUUGGGCCAUCCAGGUGUUUUGGACUUCAACAGCCAAUAGGCUGUUAGGAAUUAUGGGAGUUGAAGUUCAAAACACCUGGAGGGCUGAAGUUUGCCCAGGCCUGUUCUACAGUGUAGAUGCACCCUGAAAGAAAGUCUAGUACAUAUACAUUGGGUAUGUAGGUAUGCAUGAGAGAGAAACUACAUGUGUUAAUAAACCGAGGGAAUAAGAGCAAAGGAAGGGCAGGAAGUAUCGCAAAGUACGAAUUACAGGAUGGGAGAGAGAGACAACAUUGUGAAUGGGGUUUGCCUGGAUCCUUCCAUUUGGAUUUCCCCACAUCUGCCAAUGGAGAAAACCAGGAUGCAGAAUCCGCAGCUCUUUUCGCCUUUAAAGCCCUUGCUGUCCUCCCACACAAGCCCAGCCCUGGCUGCCAGACGUGACAUCAUGCAAGCGUUUUAUUCCAUGUCAUACGCCAGACAAUAAGGUCAGUAUUGGCAAUUUCCCCUACUCUAACAACCAGAAAUAAAUUAAAUGUCACACAGUGGCAUUUAAUUUCAAUUGAACAUUAUCCUGUUAUUGCAUGUCAUCUUCCAUUAGUUUCAUUUUGCCAGGCUUCUAUUUUUUUUUCUUUUUUUGUGACUAACAUCCAGAAUUGUCAGUUCCUCUGGCUAACAAUGUGCUACGAAGAUGUUGCUUCCUUGUCACAGUCUUUGUUGGCUUCCUGUGGUGCGGGGGGCAAAGCAUCCGCGCUCAUUUGACUCAGCAGCCCCAAAGCAAUGCCUCCGCUGUCCGCUACAAUGCUUUGCUCAUGGGCUUGGUCUCUCAAAAGGGUCUUGUCUCUGGAAAAGGAGGAAAAGGAAGGAAUGAAAAAUCCCAGUCUAGACAGCUGACAGACCUGAAGCAGCACAGCGUAGAUGGACCCUUAGAAAGUAGAAGAGACACCUCUGGCAGAUGAUGACUACAUCUGCCAGAGGUGUCUCUUCCACUUUCUAAGGGUGCAUCUACACUGUAGAAUUAAUACGGAUUGAUAUCACUUUAACUGACGUAGCUUAAUGCUAUCGACUUCAAGGCGGACGCAUUCCCAGCUGGAUUUUGGUUCUCUGAAACAGCAGAUAUGACCAAACACCAUGCAACUCUGUGGUCCCAGCAUACCACAAAGUUGCACUGAAGAACCUAGAUGUCCUCCAGGUCCUCCAGUGCAAUUUUACACUAACUUCUGGGAGAAGCUUACCAUGGAAUCAUCUGGUGAACCUAGUAAAUUCUUAAAUAUACUAUUUUUCCCCUAGAACACUGAUAAGUGAGACCAUGAAUGUUGGUUCCACAGUUACAAGGAAUUUACUGUCAUUUCUGCCUUUUUAAGGUCAGAGCAUAAACAUGAUUUCAGGACAGGCAUAUAAUAUUGCUCUAUAAAAACAUACAUGGUUGGAGGGAGCUAGGCAAUGGGUAUAGAAACAGAGAGCUUUUACCACUGGGACCCCAGGUUCAAACCCCAGGAGCGGUGUGAGCAGCCACUGUUAGCUCCAGCUCUUGUCAACCUAGCAGUUCGAAAACAUGCCAAUGUGAGUAGAUCAAUAGGUACCGCUCCAGUGGGAAGGUAAUGGCGCUCCAUGCAGGCAUGCCGGCUACAUGACCUUGGAGGUGUCUACGGACAAUGCCGGCUCUUCAGCUUAGAAAUGGAGAUGAGCACCAAUCCCCAGAGUCAGACAUGACUGGACUUAACAUCAGGGGAAACCUUUACCUUUUACCUUCUCCAAGGCAGUUUUAAAAACCUGAAAUGGAGGUCAGAUCUUCCUUCCUUUCUCCAAAAAAACUCAAUUCCAGAUUUUGUAAACUGCCUUGCCUUAGAAGAAGGGAGAAGAGAAGAGUGGAGCUUCAGAGGCCUCAAUUUUAUAGUUUUUUAACUGCCUUGCCUUUGAAGAAAGAAGGAAGCAAGCAAAAAACAGCAUAAAUUGGGGAUGUGACAAUUAUGGAAGAAAAAUAAAAAUACCAUUGUUGGCACCCAAAAAAUGCGGAUGUAACUAUUAUGUGAUGGCAACUAUUAUGCGAUUAAAUACGGGAAACAUUCACUCAAAUGCAUUAAAAUGCUCCAUAGAAAUAACUAUUAAAUGUACAUAUAUAGAAAAUGAACUACUAGACUAAAAAGGGUGAGAGUGAAAUUAUUUUAAGUGGCCAAUGUAGACUCUCUCUAAGAUACUCACCAGGUAUCUUUGUAAGUUUAGGUAACUCACCUGUCACCUUCCACAUCUUGAAUUGUCUCUGGCAACUGAAUAUUGGUGGUCUCUGACAGUAAAAAAGCCACAGAUCCAGACAACAUGGCCACCACACUAAAUAUCAUGGGUGGAAGGUAUUUCCAUUUGUCAUCCAGUAACAUGACCAGAGGAGCUAUGGAGCUGGCACUCCGUGCCACAAACGAACAACAUCCAACACCACUUUGCCUGAAAAGGUAACAAGAAGCAACUUUACGACAUUGGCAAGCCUACUCUCUUGAAAAAAAUGCAAUCUGAAUUUUCGAGGGCACUCCUUUGCUACUUGUGGGGUAUGUAUUUUGAUGAGGGGUGCUCCCUUUUCCGUGGUUUGCAAUUAGGUGUUAUUGUGCAUUCUGUCAUCUCAGAGAGACUUUUCCUUUGCUUAUUCAACCACAUGUAGAUCUAGCCUCAGAUUUACUUCAUUCAGAUUAUCGACCAUUAAGUCUAAUAAUGCAUUUCAUGGCCACUUGGGUCAUGAGACCUCUUUAAAUGGAGGGAGGAUCUUUGCCUCUUCAGGUGUUUUGGACUUCUCUUCCCCAAAGCUUCACCAAGCAUGGCCAAUGGCAAUGAAUCAUGGGAACUGGAGCUCAAAUUAAUUAUGGGAGUUGAACUUCAAAGGUUCCCUAGUUAUUUGGACUUCAAUUUCCAUAAUUCAAAGGUCCUCACCCAUCUGCUUAGGAUGUUGCCCAGUGAAGAAGGUGAGGUUGGCUUCCUUCCACCCUACAGUUUUGAAGCUCUUUGGUCUGUAGGCUCAGCCAGUGGCUAAGUCCCUUACCUGAGUACAGUAGGGUAAAGCUCAGCAGUAUAUAGGAAAACAGUAGUGAAGGCGGCUUCUGAGAAACCUUUCCCCAAGAUGGCCACAGCUGAUCUGACAUGUCCAUGUUCUGAUAAAGAAGCAGCAGGAGAUGUGAUUCACUCAGGGUAAUUGUGCCAGUCAUGUGAAGCAUUUCGAAAAGCAGAAACCCCAGAAAAUGCUUCCCUUUUCUAUAUCUCAUUGUCACCUAUAGAUGAUGUGAUAUCAUUUUUGGUCUUGGCCCCAUCCAUCUGUAGCCUCGGGCCCAAUUUGACUCUUUCCACAUUAGGAAGAUAGACUGGAGUUGGGUAACUGCUCCGGAGGCCAGUUUUUGACCUUUUCCUCAGCAGCAAAUCACACAUUAGGAUUUUCAAAUGAAAAAUCAACAAAAAAUUCAUCUCAGAAAUAACUUGAAAUCUGCUUCCAGUGUUUACAUAUGGUUGUUUUGGCUGCUUUUUAGCAGAAAAUCAGGAUAUUGUUUUGAGGAGUCAAGAGGUAUUGGGGUGAAAGCAGUAGUAUCAUAACUCACCAAAAAUUAAGUGUUUGGGGUUGGUUUGGUGGGUUUAGGAAACACUUAAAGGACAGAAAACUGGGCUGAGACUACAUGCCGCCUGUAGACCACACUUUUAUUACACUUAGUGUGAAAGAUUAUAAAGAUUCUGGGAUUUGAGGGGAAUAAUAUUGAUGAUUUCUGAUAGGAAUGAUCCAUUUAAUUUGUGAAGUGACUACAUGGGAAUAUGGCUACAGAAUCAGGAAGAGGAAUUUCUUACCUGCAGGAAUGAUUGUAUUUAGUGCGAUCAGAGAUCCUGUUGCAAUGAGAGACCAUCCCUGGCAAUGUCGGCGACCAAUGUGAUCCAGGACUAAAUACACACCCAGUUUGGCAGGAAUCUCAAUGGCCCCAAACGUUAACUGUGUCAGAUAUGGAUCCAAGCUGAAACCACCAAUGUUUAAACUGAUGCCAUAAUAGGUGAAGGAGACGCCAAACCUGCAAAGCAAACAAGAGACCUGUAGUAUUUAUUUAGGAACCACUUAUAUGUAUCACUGGAAUGUCAUUAUAUUGAAUCAUAAGGCCAGCCUAUGAUCUCAUAUCUAUUGAACAAGAUGUUAGUAUAUAUCAUUCUGGAUGGCAUUUUCUGUUCCUGACUAAAUGGGUUCUUGUCCAUAAAAGCUUAUGUGAUAAUAAAUUUGCUUAUCUUUAGGGUGCAAGAAGACUCUUUGGAAUUUUAUGUCAUUUCAAAUGUAGAGAAGAUGAGUAAAAUGAGAAAAAUGAGCUGUAUCUGGAGCUGUAGUGGGUUUUCAAGGUUUUGAGGAUUUGGAAGCACUUCAAAACCCCGUGAAAUUUAUGCACAAAGAUGACAGUGAGAGGAAAAAGUUAUUUUGGAUCCUCAACUCUUCUGCCACACCACCUUCAGCUCUUUGGAGACAAGGAGAUCCAUCUUCUAUUUCAGCUCUUCAUUAAGAAUGAGCAUUACAUUAGCCUGGUGUACGCUGUCCAGCAUGAUGGGCACAUGAUUCCAGCAUGUAUCACAACUUGAAGAAAAAGAGGAGUAGCAAUUGCCAGUAACACUGACACAUUUCUUCAGCAUUCCCUGAAAUAUCGUUCAGCGAGCCUUUGGUGUCUAAUGGGGUUUGGUUCCAUCACGCCCGGAUACCAAAAUCCAUGGUUGCUCACAUCCCUCUUUAUAUACGGCAUAAUAAAAUUGAGUUCCUGAUCUAAAACAGCUUUUUGGAAUUUGUAAAAAAUAUUUUGAAGCCAUGGAUAUGGAGGGCCAAUUAAUUGGACUUGAGUAAACUGCGGGCCAAUGCUAUUAUUAACACAACUAGGUAGCCACUUAGGGUACAGAUCUCAGAAGGGCUCAGUACUGAUCUUGGAGUGUAAAAGUUUUAAGUAUAUAUAAAUCGUAUAGGCCAUAUAAUUAAUUGAAUGUAUUGUUGAUAUGUGCCUUCAAGUCAGAAGGUGACCCUAUAAUGAGAUUUCUUGGAGGAAUUUAUUCAGAGGGAGUUGCUUUUGCCUUCCUCUGAGGCUAAGAGAAUGGGUGUAGCCCAAGAUCACCCAAAGGGUUUCCGUGGCCAAGCGAGGGUUCAAACCCUAGUCUCCAGAGUCACCUUAUCACAGUAGAGGUUAGGGAGUUUGUAGUUUAGGAAGGGGUCUUUAAAAUUGCCAGAGAGCUCCCAGGCCUUAUUAAACUACAAAUCCCAAAAUUCUGGAGAACAAUUUAAAGUGGGAUAGACAUUUUUUUCCUAUAUAGACUGACACUCAUACCACUACAUAAUACCGGCUCUGUCAUUUAUAUACAGACACGGAAAAACAUUUAUACACACAGACUAUUUAUAUAGAGAGAGAUAAUGAAAUUGCACGAGAAUGAAAGUUAAUAGUAACUAUGUUUAUUUUUUUACUACGUUGUGUUGUAUGUUCUUCUGUGUUUGGUACUGAAUGUCUAUAUUAGAAACCGCCCAGUCUCUUUUGGGGAGAUAGAGUGGUAUAUAAAUAAAGUGUUGUUGUUGAUGGAAA